rnacentral:rRNA from 1 species
CGACCGGCGCACGGGUGCGUAACGCGUAUGCAACCUACCUUUUACUGGGGGAUAGCCCGGAGAAAUUCGGAUUAACACCGCAUAAUAAGUUUUAUUGGCAUCAAUGAGAUUUUAAAUAUUUAUAGGUAAAAGAUGGGCAUGCGUCCAAUUAGCUAGUUGGUAGUGUAACGGACUACCAAGGCUAUGAUUGGUAGGGGUUCUGAGAGGAAGGUCCCCCACACUGGUACUGAGAUACGGACCAG